AUGCUGAGCAGCUAUAGAUUAGCAGGGGCAGACUGGAAUGCUGGAAGGCCAAGGUUAUCCAAGGGCCUAAGAGGAUCAGGUGAAGCAGGUACAGGUGACAUCAGGCAGGUGGAAAUUCUGAGGAGCCAGGGAAGCUCCAAGAGCUCAGGAGAUCAGAUCAUGCAGCAACAGGGGAACGGGGACAGGCCUAAAACCACAGCUCCAUCUGUCUUCCCUCUGGCCCCUGGCUGUGGAGACACAUCUGGUUCCACUGUAACCCUGGGAUGUCUGGUCAAGGGCUACUUCCCUGAGCCAGUGACAGUGUCCUGGAACUCUGGAGCCCUGUCCAGCGGCGUGCGCACCUUCCCAUCUGUCCUGCAGUCUGGGCUUUACUCCCUCAGCAGCUCAGUGACUGUGCCUGCCAGCACCUGGCCCAGCCAGACUGUCACCUGCAAUGUAGCCCACCCGGCCAGCAGCACCAAGGUGGACAAGACCAUUGUCCUGGGAGGACCAUCCGUCUUCAUCUUCCCCCCAAAGCCCAAGGACACACUCAUGAUCUCCUUGACACCCAAGAUAACGUGUGUGGUGGUGGAUGUGAGCCAGGAUGACCCUGAGAUCCAGAUCAGCUGGUUCGUGAACAAUGUGGAAGUGCACACAGCCCAGACGCAUCCCCAAGAGAGGCAGAGCAACAGCACAUUCCGUGUGGUCAGUGAACUCCCCAUUCUGCACCAGGACUGGCUGAAGGGCAAGGAGUUCAAGUGCAAGGUCAACAGCACAGAUGCCCCAUCCCCCAUCGAGAGAACCAUCUCCAAAGUCAAAGGUCAAGCCCAGGUGCCACAGGUAUAUGCCUUGCCCCCACCCCAGGAGCAGAUGACCAAGAAUAUGGUCACUUUGACCUGCAUGGUCCUAGGCUUCUACCCUGGAGACAUCGAUGUGGAGUGGCAGCGCAAUGGGGAGCCGGAGCAGAACUACAAGAACACCCUUCCUGUCCUGGACUCUGAUGGAUCCUACUUCCUCUACAGCAAGUUCAAUGUGGAGAAGAGAAGGUGGCAGCAGGGAGAAACCUUCACCUGUUCUGUGCUGCACGAGGCUUUGCACAACCACCAAAUGCACAAGACCAUCUCCCGGUCUCCGGGGCUGGACCUAGACGAGACUUGUGCCGAGGCCCAGGAUGGGGAGCUGGAUGGGCUGUGGACAACCAUCACCAUCUUCAUCACCCUCUUUCUGCUCAGCGUGUGCUACAGCGCCACAGUCACACUCUUCAAGGUGAAGUGGAUCUUCUCCUCGGUGGUAGAGCUGAAGCAAACAAUUGCCCCUGACUACAGGAAUAUGAUUGGGCAGGGGGCCUAG